GCGACGCAGAGCCGGGCCCGGCGCACGAGGCAGCCAGCGCGGCCAUGACGGCGGAGAAGGCGCUGCCUCUGGGCAAUGGGAAGGCUGCCGAGGAGGCGCGGGAGUCUGAGGCGCCGGGAGGCGGUGGCGGCGGGGGCGCGGCGGCCGCGCGCGAUCCGCGCGACAAGCGCGACAAGGCGGUCCACGAACGCGGCCACUGGAACAACAAGGUGGAGUUCGUGCUGAGCGUGGCUGGGGAGAUCAUCGGGCUGGGCAACGUGUGGCGCUUCCCUUACCUGUGCUACAAGAACGGAGGAGGGGCGUUCCUGAUUCCCUACGUGGUGUUUUUUAUUUGCUGUGGAAUUCCUGUUUUUUUCUUGGAAACAGCUCUGGGACAAUUCACUAGUGAAGGUGGCAUUACAUGUUGGAGGAAAGUUUGCCCUUUAUUUGAAGGCAUUGGCUAUGCAACACAGGUGAUCGAGGCCCAUCUAAACGUGUACUACAUCAUCAUCCUGGCGUGGGCCAUUUUCUACCUGAGCAACUGCUUCACUACUGAGCUCCCCUGGGCCACCUGUGGGCAUGAGUGGAACACAGAGAAUUGUGUGGAGUUCCAGAAACUGAACAUGAGCAACCACAGUCAUGUGUCCCUGCAGAAUGCCACCUCUCCCGUCAUGGAGUUUUGGGAGCGCCGGGUCUUGGCCAUCUCAGAUGGGAUCGAGCACAUUGGGAACCUCCGCUGGGAGCUGGCCUUGUGUCUCCUGGCAGCCUGGACCAUCUGCUACUUCUGCAUCUGGAAGGGGACCAAGUCCACAGGAAAGGUUGUGUACGUCACUGCAACAUUUCCAUAUAUCAUGCUUCUGAUCCUCCUGAUCCGAGGGGUCACGUUGCCCGGGGCCUCCGAAGGCAUCAAGUUCUACUUGUACCCCGACCUCUCCCGGCUCUCUGACCCACAGGCAGAUGCAGAGGUUGCUGCCUUCACCAACUGUGGCUGUUUUCUUUUUCAUUUUCCUCCCAAGGGAGUCCUUUCUCAAGACUGCAGUGUCUGGGUAGAUGCUGGGACGCAGAUCUUUUUCUCCUAUGCCAUCUGCCUGGGUUGUCUGACUGCUCUGGGAAGUUACAACAAUUAUAACAACAACUGCUACAGGGACUGCAUCAUGCUUUGUUGCCUCAACAGUGGCACCAGCUUUGUGGCUGGCUUUGCCAUCUUCUCAGUCCUGGGUUUCAUGGCAUACGAGCAGGGGGUGCCCAUUGCCGAGGUGGCAGAGUCAGGCCCCGGCCUGGCCUUUAUCGCUUACCCCAAGGCAGUCACCAUGAUGCCUCUCUCCCCACUGUGGGCCACCUUGUUCUUCAUGAUGCUCAUCUUCCUGGGCCUGGACAGCCAGUUUGUGUGCGUGGAAAGCCUCGUGACCGCUGUGGUGGACAUGUACCCCAAGGUCUUCCGGAGGGGCUACCGGCGGGAGCUGCUCAUCUUGGCUCUAUCCAUCAUCUCCUAUUUUCUGGGCCUCGUGAUGCUCACAGAGGGCGGCAUGUACAUCUUCCAGCUCUUCGACUCCUAUGCAGCCAGCGGAAUGUGUCUUCUCUUUGUGGCCAUCUUUGAGUGCGUCUGCAUCGGCUGGGUGUAUGGAAGCAAUCGCUUCUACGAUAACAUCGAAGACAUGAUUGGCUACCGGCCAUUGUCGCUCAUUAAAUGGUGCUGGAAGGUUGUGACCCCCGGGAUCUGUGCGGUAAGGGCCCUGCCAGAAGCUGCCUCCAGCCCACUCACCCACUUUCCCCUUCUAGCACCACAAGCCUGGCCGAGGCUGAAACAGGACGUGCUGGCCCCCUGGGAGACCCUCUGUGCAUCCAGAGUCUCCAAGGCACCUGACAUCUUUCUAAGUGGGAGUCGUGGGGACAGUUUUUGGGCUUGGCCAGGGAGGGGCCUCACUGGGAUCCCAGCUCUGCCACCAGCUUGCUGUGUGACCAUAAGCAAGUCGCCUCCCUUCUCAAAGCCUCGGAUUCUAUACCUGCAAGCUAAAUGGCUGGGGCCUGUCUCCAUGAGGGCCAAGGAUCCUAUGAGAGACAACGUUUAGCUUUGUUGUUAACAGAGAAAGCCACAGAACUGAGGUAAAAUUGGGGCUCAUUGCUCUGCCCCUCAAACCACACCUUGGAGAAGAAUUUGUGUUUAAUAAACAUAACCCCAUUGCUCUUCACCCAGUUCUUGGCGUUGAAAAUGUCUCAGAGCAUCUUCACAAACCAUCGUGGUUCUGCAAAGGCCACUUUGAAAGCAGCCCCGAGAAGGAGCUAGAAAAUUCCCAACUGGGUAGAGGCUGGGGAUAAGGCUUCUGGGGCAGGAAGGGUCUCACAGCCCUGAUGUGGUGCUGGGAUCUGUAGGAGUCUGUUCCCUGUGUGAGCUGGCACAGGGCCUCGCCUGUCCAGGGCUGUCGCACGUGGUGGCCCCUACCCCCACUGGCCUCCUGCAUGCGGGCCUGGGCCUGGGCCUGUCGCUGAAGGCUGGCCCCCAGGGACCUCUCCCCGUCUCUCGGCAGGGCAUCUUUAUCUUCUUCCUUGUCAAGUACAAGCCUCUCAAGUACAACAACAUCUAUACCUACCCCACCUGGGGCUACAGCAUCGGCUGGCUCAUGGCCCUGUCCUCCAUGCUCUGCAUCCCACUCUGGAUCUUCAUCAAGCUGUGGAAGACAGAGGGGACACUGCCUGAGAAAUUCCGGAAGUUGACCAUCCCCAGCGCUGAUCUGAAAAUGCGGGGCAAGCUUGGGGCAGGCCCACGGACGGUGACGGUUAAUGACUGUGAUGCCAAACUCAAGGGCGAUGGGACCAUUGCAGCCAUCACAGAGAAGGAGACACACUUCUGAGCCACACCUGCCACCUCGGAUGCCUCUCCUUCCUUCCCUCCCCCGACCCCAUGUGUAUAAAUGAAUACCUGAGACACAUACUUCCCCUAAUGAUAGAGGCUUGCUCGUUUUGCACAGGAUUUAUUAACAAGUUAAUUUUAAGGUGGCCGUGUACACUCUGGUUUAAAGUCCCAUUCCCCUCCUUGCCCCCAGUUAUCAUGUAAGUAACAUUAUGAAGAGAUAAUACUGUACAGGGACUAGCAGAAUCUUCCGUGCUAGGACGGUUUUAACCAGUGUUUUCUAGGGGUUAGGGAGAAGUUGUAUCAUAUGGUCAAACUUUUAUACUUGGGCUGUGGGGCAGGUGGGGUGGGAGUGAUGCCUGAUCUCUGUCAGCCUUUUAGCUGACCGCUCCAUGUCCCAUGUUCCUCCCUGACCAUUGCAGCUGCCCCUCCUCCAUGCCGCCGGGGAAGGCUUUGCCUUCAAAUCCUGCCUUUGCCAUCCCCAACCUCUUAGCAGUGGGUUUGCAGACAGCAAGGCUGUGUCAGAGAAGAGAAAGUGAUCUUUCUGCCCUGAUCCCACUAAGUGACCUUGGGUGCUCCCAUCCCCUCCCUGGGCCUCAGUUUUCCUGUUUCCCAAAUGGGGAGGGAUGUAUCCAGUGAUCUCUGAGGUCCUUCCUGCCCUGGGCAGGUCUCUUGGGGAUUCUCUUGGUAUGGCUUGUUGGGUAGUGGCUGCUGGCCGGCAGGCCUGACCUUGACCUUGACCUUUAAUUGUUCUGAAGCCUCCCCCUGCUUAUUUAAAAUCAAGUUUGUCAUGGAAACGAUGUGGUGUUUUCCCCUUAAACUCCAGGUUGAUGCAUCUGUGAGGGCCUCCAUUCUCUGGAGUCUGGCCAGGUCCUCAGCUCCCGUGACAGGGCCCCUCCUGUCCAUCUGCUCGCCCUGUCAUUCCUGCCUCUCUGUCUUCAUGGGGCUGGCUGGAGUCACCUGCGUGCUGGUUUUCGGGGUCAGGAAGCAGCCGCCAUUCCACGGCAGCUGUCUGUCCUGCCAUUGCCGCUGCCCCAGCCACCAUCUGUGUCUAGGACCUUCUACCAGCUUCCCAGGGGAAGGAGCCCCAGUAGGGCCUGCAGCCUGGUUUUGUGCCCUGGGCCCUUCUUCAUCUGCCUGCCGCCUCUCCUCUCUCUUACUGUCCUCUGCCCUCCACACUCUCCCGCCUUCCUGCCGCCUCUUAGCCCUCCCCAUCCUUCUUCUGAUCACCAGCAGAACCUUCUCUCCCGACCCCUUUUUGGGGAGCCAUUCCACCUGCAUCUCUCGCCAGGGGGACUGAGAAGCCUCAGCACUUACACUGGAGGGAAGAACCGGGCUCCCAGCCCUCCCUCUGUGCAGGCCAGGGGCUGGUGGGGCCAAGGCUGGUGCUGCCUCAGAUCCCUCUGCCCGACUUCUCUCUCUAAUCAGAUUUCAUCAGCCCUUUGUCUUAGAUUCUGAGUUAUUUGGGGACAGGGAAGGUGCAUUCUUUAUCCUUUUCCUUUACGUCUCCAGUUUUAUUUGGUGGAAACAGGAGCUUUCACCAAACCAAGACUUCAGUUUCCUAUAAGGAGCCCACAUGUUUGAUUCACCUGAAACUUUCCAAACUGACAGCUUCUCUGGUCUGGCCAGCCCCCAUCUGAAGACCAAGUUUGCUAGAAGGGAUGCCCAGUGCCCCCCCCCCCGCCCCAGGCAGGCUGGGAUGCCUGGUUCUGGGCCCCCUUUUGCACACACUGCCCAGGCCUGCCUGGCUCUCCGUGAGCUGUCGGACCUGGUGGACCCAGGAAGUGGACCCAGGAGGAUCGGGCCUCAUGCUGAGCCUUCUGCUGUGUCUGUCCUUGUCUACUCUUCUCCCACCAGGUCCUGGGGAGGGAGACUCCCCACUGCUGCUGCUACCGGUUCUCCAUCUACAGCUCUGAAGCCUCGCUAGGGACGGGAUGCACUGCAUUGUACCUGUGGCACUUAACAUUUCACUCACUUAACACUACUCAUGGGGCAGGGCGGAGGGAGGGCUUUUGCUCUUGGUUUUUUGUAAUUUCCUACUAGUAUUUGGGCAACUUGGGGCGGGACGGGGAGGGAAACGUGGGGGCAGGGGAAAUGUCAUUGUGGUGACUUUUUUGAUAUUCAUUAGAAACAAUACAUCCUUUCUGAGAUAUUUACAGAAUUAUUAAAAAAUGAAAAAGGUUGUACUGUUUUACAUAAUGAACGUUUUUAUCGGGUAUUCAAAGGGCACACAAUUGUCUGCUUACUCAUUUUUAAAAAUUAAAGGAAUGAACAAACUAUA